rnacentral:rRNA from 1 species
GCGGAGGAAAAGAAACCAACAGGGAUUGCCCUAGUAACGGCGAGUGAAGCGGCAACAGCUCAAAUUUGAAAUCUGGCUUCGGCCCGAGUUGUAAUUUGCAGAGGAAGCUUUAGGCGCGGCACCUUCUGAGUCCCCUGGAACGGGGCGCCAUAGAGGGUGAGAGCCCCGUAUAGUUGGAUGCCUAGCCUGUGUAAAGCUCCUUCGACGAGUCGAGUAGUUUGGGAAUGCUGCUCAAAAUGGGAGGUAAAUUUCUUCUAAAGCUAAAUACCGGCCAGAGACCGAUAGCGCACAAGUAGAGUGAUCGAAAGAUGAAAAGCACUUUGAAAAGAGGGUUAAAUAGCACGUGAAAUUGUUGAAAGGGAAGCGCUUGUGACCAGACUUGCGCCGGGCUGAUCAUCCGGUGUUCUCACCGGUGCACUCUGCCCGGCUCAGGCCAGCAUCGGUUCUCGCGGGGGGAUAAAG